rnacentral:rRNA from 1 species
GACAGAGGGUGCAAACGUUGCUCGGAAUUACUGGGCGUAAAGCGCAUGUAGGCGGACGUGCAAGUCAGGUGUGAAAUCCCCGGGCUCAACCCGGGAAUUGCACUUGAAACUGCUCGUCUUGAGUACCGGAGAGGAUAGUGGAAUUCCUGGGUGUAGAGGUGAAAUUCGUAGAUAUCAGGAGGAGCACCGGUGGCGAAGGCGGCUAUCGUGGACGGUCACUGACGCUGAGAUGCGAAAGCGUGGGGAAGCAAACAGGG